rnacentral:rRNA from 1 species
UUCUUUAAAAUUAAUAAAUUUGGCGGUAUUUUAUUCUAUUUAGAGGAAUCUGUUUUUAAAUUGAUAGUCCACAAUUAUAUUUACUUUAUUUUUUAAUUUAUAUAUCGUUGUAUUAGAAUAUUUUUAUAUAAAAUAUUAUCAGAUCAAGGUGUAGUUUAUAAUAAAGUUAAAAUGGAUUACAAUAUAAAUUUAAUAUAAAUUGGAUUUAAUAGUAAGUUUUAAAAUAUGUACAUAUCGCCCGUCACUUUCAUUUAAGGUGAAAUAAGUCGUAACAAAGUAGAUUUACUGGAAAGUGAAUCUAGAUUCAAGUUAUAGCUAAGUAAGUAUUUUAUUUACACUAAAAUGAUAGUUGAAAUUCAAUUUAAUUUGAAUUUUAAAAUUUAUUAUUGAUUUUAAAUUAUUUGUUUUAAUUAAAAAAUUUAAUUUUUAGUAAUUUUUUGAAAAAAUAUUAUGAUAAAGAAUAGUAUUGUUAAAGAAAAUUUAAAAAUAGUAAAAAGAAAAUUUUAUUUAUUGUACCUUGUGUAUCAGGGUUUAUUAAUUUAAUUUUCUCGAAAUUUAAAGAGCUAAUUUUAUUGUUGAAUAAAUAUUUAUAAUAAGAAUUUAGUAAUGAAACGUUAUUCGUUUUAAAUUAUAUCUAGUUUUUUAAUAAAUAAAUUUAAUUUAAUGAUUAAUUAAUAUUUAAGGGAUAAGCUUUAAAGUAAAUUUUAAUAAAAUAAUAUGAAUAUUUAAUUUAUAGGAUUAGAAUUUUUUAAUGAUAGAAAAAUGUUAUAAUAAUUUUUUAAUUUUUUAUUAAAAUAAUGAUUUUAAUUAUAAAAAUUAAGUAAUAAUGAUAAAAUUAGUAAGUUGAUUUUAAGGAAUUCGGCAAAUAUAAUUUUCACCUGUUUAUUAAAAACAUGUCUUUUUGUUUAAGAUAAAAAGUCGGAUCUGCUCAAUGAUUAAAUAGCUGCAGUAUAUUAACUGUACAAAGGUAGCAUAAUCAUUAGUUUUUUAAUUGAAAGCUGGAAUGAAUGAUUUGAUGAAAAAUUUACUGUCUCAAGAAUUUUAUUUUUAAGUAAAAAAGCUUAAAUUUGGUAAAAAGACGAGAAGACCCUAUAGAGUUUUUUUAUUGGGGUGAUAUAAAAAUUUAAAUAACUUUUUAUUUUUAUGAGUUAUUGAUCCUAGAUUAAAAGAAAAAAUUACCUUAGGGAUAACAGCGUAAUUUUUUUAGAGAGUUCUUAUCG